rnacentral:lncRNA from 1 species
UGGAACUUUCAAUGGGCUCAUCCUGAUUUUCUGAAUCAACUAUGUAGUACAAAUCCUCAUCCUCAGUAGCACAAGUCACAUGGACAAUAUAACUGCAAUCCUCAGUAGCACAAGUCACAUGUCACAUGGACAAUAUAACUGCAAUCCUCAGUAGCACAAGUCACAUGGACAAUAUAACUGCAAUCCUCAGUAGCACAAGUCACAUGUCACAUGGACGAUAUAACUGCAAUCCUCAGUAGCACAAGUCACAUGGACAAUAUAACUGCAAUCCUGCUUCAAACAACAAUAACACCCAUACUCUCUUUUCACUUCAUGAUAACAAAUCUUGCAUUCUUGCUUUACAAUAUCCUUUUCUUGACUGAAAUAAUGGUGGAAAACAAAGUGGUCAUGCCGUGAGAUUUUGAUGAUGCUUGGCAAUGAAGUGCACUUCUUAUGAACUUAGAGAUGACAUGUAGAACACAUAUACGAAAGAUUUAUUCCCCUCAGUGCCGCAUUCAUCACAAAUAAAUGAUUCCUGUCCCCAUAACAAGCUAAAGGGGUGCUCAUUACGAGUUUUAUCUCCAAUAACAGGGCGAGGCCAUACACAUUCAAUGUCAAUGUCAAAAUUGCAAGGAGAACAACGAUAAAAGUAUCCGAAAUGAUUAGUUUGGCAAAGCUUGCAUUGCAAAAUAGUCUCCUUUGUUCACUAAAUUCGACAAAAAAAGGGUGUAAUCGAUGGCAGGGGUGAUUAAUUUCAGUGGGUAAUUGAGCACAUUUCUUAUGAAAAUAAAUUCUGCAAUCAAUGCAAAUAUAUAUAGAAUCUGUUAAUGGUUCCUCACAGGUGAAGGAAAUAAAUUUUUUCAGUUCAUCUUUAUGGUUUUCAAUGAAGAGCAAUGGAUGCAGGUGGGCAUUGUAUUUGGAUUCUAGCAAAUUUUGACCAAGUGAAAAUAAAGCACAUUUGACAUCAAGGGAAAACGCGCAAAAAGGACAUCGAUAAAUGAAUAUCUGACCUGG